rnacentral:lncRNA from 1 species
CAGCCAACUGCUUGAGGCAGCUGCCUUAUGAUCAGAUGUUCAAAGAGCUGCUAAAAAUGUAACUACCUGUAAAUGUCAGUGUUUUUCAAAUAAGCGUUUUUCGCUUUAGUUCCAAAUUUUGUGCUGUGCGUUAAUGCCACUUGGGAGCUGGCAUAAUGGUGUCUGAUGGGAGCUCUCCUGCGGUUAUUGUUCUGUAUUUCUAUAGGGCUUCUUCAAAAAGCAGUGGCCAAAGCCUGUGAACAGUGUAGUUUUGCCCCAUAAGUGCCUCCUUUUUUGUGGCUGUCCAGAAUAUUCCUUCCUCUUGAGUCAUCUACGAGGAGUGGAUGUUGACUUCUGCCCUCGAAGUUUCAACAGAAUCACCAGAAUUGGGAGAACACACUGCCAGUCUUGUGUAACCAAUAAGCAGCAGCUGUAAGCCAGCUGGCACAAGGAGACAAGGGACGCCAAGGGAGAAGGGCAGGAAGCCGGGCUGUCGGAUGGAAUUGGGCCACCCCGACACGAGACCUCAGAACUGACAGCUCAACCACCUCCUUG